GAUGAACGCUGGCGGCGUGCCUAAUACAUGCAAGUCGAGCGAAGCGGGGACGGGUGAGUAACACGUGGCUAACCUCCUAUAAGACUGGGAUAACUUCGGGAAACCGGAGCUAAACCGGUUACUUAUAGAUGGAUCUUCGCUGCAUUGGCUGGUGGGUAAGGUAACGGCUUACCAAGGCAACGAUCCAUAGCCGACCUGAGAGGUUGAUCGGCAACACUGGAACUGAGACACGGUCCAGACUCCUACGGGAGGCAGCAGUAGGGAAUAUUCCGCAAUGGGCGAAAGCCUGACGGAGCAACGCCGCGUGAGUGAUGAAGGGCUUCGGAUCGUAAAACUCUGUUAUUAGGGAAGCGGUACCUAAUCAGAAAGCAACGGCUAACUACGUGCCAGCAGCCGCGGUAAUUC
rnacentral:rRNA from 1 species